AAGGAAACUGAGAUCCAGGAGG
rnacentral:miRNA from 1 species